rnacentral:lncRNA from 1 species
GUUACUUUACUAUCAAAACAUUAAUUUCCAUAUUAUAACUCAAAAUAUAAAAAUAUCAAACAAUUAUCUGAUUUCUAGCGCAACAUUUUUUUUAUCGAUAUUUUUUUUUGACAACAUAAUAAAUUUUUUAGUGAUACUUUUUCUGACAAUAUAAUAAUUUUUAACGGCAUUUCUAAACAAAUUCUUGAAUGCCAGUAGCAUCUUCACAGCCUGUCAAGGAAGGCUGGUACUUCAAUUUAGCACUUUAUUAAAAAAAAUAUUAAUACUAAGAAACUCUCACCUGAACUUUUAUCACUGGUUUAUUGUACACUUAGAAGCUUUUAUCUCACGACAUCUUUUAUACCUU